rnacentral:rRNA from 1 species
GUUAAGCGACUAAGCGUACACGGUGGAUGCCCUGGCAGUCAGAGGCGAUGAAGGACGUGCUAAUCUGCGAUAAGCGUCGGUGAGGUGAUAUGAACCGUUAUAACCGGCGAUUUCCGAAUGGGGAAACCCAGUGUGUUUCGACACACUAUCAUUAACUGAAUCCAUAGGUUAAUGAGGCGAACCGGGGGAACUGAAACAUCUAAGUACCCCGAGGAAAAGAAAUCAACCGAGAUUCCCCCAGUAGCGGCGAGCGAACGGGGAGGAGCCCAGAGCCUGAAUCAGUGUGUGUGUUAGUGGAAGCGUCUGGAAAGGCGCGCGAUACAGGGUGACAGCCCCGUACACAAAAAUGCACAUAUUGUGAGCUCGAUGAGUAGGGCGGGACACGUGGUAUCCUGUCUGAAUAUGGGGGGACCAUCCUCCAAGGCUAAAUACUCCUGACUGACCGAUAGUGAACCAGUACCGUGAGGGAAAGGCGAAAAGAACCCCGGCGAGGGGAGUGAAAAAGAACCUGAAACCGUGUACGUACAAGCAGUGGGAGCCUCUUUAUGGGGUGACUGCGUACCUUUUGUAUAAUGGGUCAGCGACUUAUAUUCUGUAGCAAGGUUAACCGAAUAGGGGAGCCGAAGGGAAACCGAGUCUUAACUGGGCGUUAAGUUGCAGGGUAUAGACCCGAAACCCGGUGAUCUAGCCAUGGGCAGGUUGAAGGUUGGGUAACACUAACUGGAGGACCGAACCGACUAAUGUUGAAAAAUUAGCGGAUGACUUGUGGCUGGGGGUGAAAGGCCAAUCAAACCGGGAGAUAGCUGGUUCUCCCCGAAAGCUAUUUAGGUAGCGCCUCGUGAAUUCAUCUCCGGGGGUAGAGCACUGUUUCGGCAAGGGGGUCAUCCCGACUUACCAACCCGAUGCAAACUGCGAAUACCGGAGAAUGUUAUCACGGGAGACACACGGCGGGUGCUAACGUCCGUCGUGAAGAGGGAAACAACCCAGACCGCCAGCUAAGGUCCCAAAGUCAUGGUUAAGUGGGAAACGAUGUGGGAAGGCCCAGACAGCCAGGAUGUUGGCUUAGAAGCAGCCAUCAUUUAAAGAAAGCGUAAUAGCUCACUGGUCGAGUCGGCCUGCGCGGAAGAUGUAACGGGGCUAAACCAUGCACCGAAGCUGCGGCAGCGACACUAUGUGUUGUUGGGUAGGGGAGCGUUCUGUAAGCCUGUGAAGGUGGCCUGUGAGGGUUGCUGGAGGUAUCAGAAGUGCGAAUGCUGACAUAAGUAACGAUAAAGCGGGUGAAAAGCCCGCUCGCCGGAAGACCAAGGGUUCCUGUCCAACGUUAAUCGGGGCAGGGUGAGUCGACCCCUAAGGCGAGGCCGAAAGGCGUAGUCGAUGGGAAACAGGUUAAUAUUCCUGUACUUGGUGUUACUGCGAAGGGGGGACGGAGAAGGCUAUGUUGGCCGGGCGACGGUUGUCCCGGUUUAAGCGUGUAGGCUGGUUUUCCAGGCAAAUCCGGAAAACCAAGGCUGAGGCGUGAUGACGAGGCACUACGGUGCUGAAGCGACAAAUGCCCUGCUUCCAGGAAAAGCCUCUAAGCAUCAGGUAACAUCAAAUCGUACCCCAAACCGACACAGGUGGUCAGGUAGAGAAUACCAAGGCGCUUGAGAGAACUCGGGUGAAGGAACUAGGCAAAAUGGUGCCGUAACUUCGGGAGAAGGCACGCUGAUAUGUAGGUGAAGCGACUUGCUCGUGGAGCUGAAAUCAGUCGAAGAUACCAGCUGGCUGCAACUGUUUAUUAAAAACACAGCACUGUGCAAACACGAAAGUGGACGUAUACGGUGUGACGCCUGCCCGGUGCCGGAAGGUUAAUUGAUGGGGUUAGCGGUAACGCGAAGCUCUUGAUCGAAGCCCCGGUAAACGGCGGCCGUAACUAUAACGGUCCUAAGGUAGCGAAAUUCCUUGUCGGGUAAGUUCCGACCUGCACGAAUGGCGUAAUGAUGGCCAGGCUGUCUCCACCCGAGACUCAGUGAAAUUGAACUCGCUGUGAAGAUGCAGUGUACCCGCGGCAAGACGGAAAGACCCCGUGAACCUUUACUAUAGCUUGACACUGAACAUUGAGCCUUGAUGUGUAGGAUAGGUGGGAGGCUUUGAAGUGUGGACGCCAGUCUGCAUGGAGCCGACCUUGAAAUACCACCCUUUAAUGUUUGAUGUUCUAACGUUGGCCCGUAAUCCGGGUUGCGGACAGUGUCUGGUGGGUAGUUUGACUGGGGCGGUCUCCUCCUAAAGAGUAACGGAGGAGCACGAAGGUUGGCUAAUCCUGGUCGGACAUCAGGAGGUUAGUGCAAUGGCAUAAGCCAGCUUGACUGCGAGCGUGACGGCGCGAGCAGGUGCGAAAGCAGGUCAUAGUGAUCCGGUGGUUCUGAAUGGAAGGGCCAUCGCUCAACGGAUAAAAGGUACUCCGGGGAUAACAGGCUGAUACCGCCCAAGAGUUCAUAUCGACGGCGGUGUUUGGCACCUCGAUGUCGGCUCAUCACAUCCUGGGGCUGAAGUAGGUCCCAAGGGUAUGGCUGUUCGCCAUUUAAAGUGGUACGCGAGCUGGGUUUAGAACGUCGUGAGACAGUUCGGUCCCUAUCUGCCGUGGGCGCUGGAGAACUGAGGGGGGCUGCUCCUAGUACGAGAGGACCGGAGUGGACGCAUCACUGGUGUUCGGGUUGUCAUGCCAAUGGCACUGCCCGGUAGCUAAAUGCGGAAGAGAUAAGUGCUGAAAGCAUCUAAGCACGAAACUUGCCCCGAGAUGAGUUCUCCCUGACUCCUUGAGAGUCCUGAAGGAACGUUGAAGACGACGACGUUGAUAGGCCGGGUGUGUAAGCGCAGCGAUGCGUUGAGCUAACCGGUACUAAUGAACCGUGAGGCUUAACC